rnacentral:ribozyme from 1 species
UGCCCAGCAACUCCUAUCCCUACUUCCUCGUGGUACUGGCCGGAAACUACGAGAAACCUUAGAAAAGAUCUGGUAACUAACCCAGGUGGGAGCUUUGGUCGUAGGCUGACAGUGAAGG